rnacentral:rRNA from 1 species
AGGUGCAUGGCCGUCGUCAGUUCGUACUGUGAAGCAUCCUGUUAAGUCAGGCAACGAGCGAGACCCACGCCCACAGUUGCCAGCGUACUCUCUGGAGUGACGGGUACACUGUGGGACCGCCGCUGCUAAAGCGGAGGAAGGAAUGGGCAACGGUAGGUCAGUAUGCCCCGAAUAUCCCGGGCUACACGCGAGCUACAAUGGUUGGUACAAUGGGUAUCUACCCCGAAAGGGGACGGGAAUCUCCUAAAACCAAUCUUAGUUCGGAUUGAGGGCUGCAACUCGCCCUCAUGAAGCUGGAAUCCGUAGUAAUCGCGUUUCAACAGAACGCGGUGAAUACGUCCCUGCUCCUU